UACAGUGUGUGUACAUUACAUACCAUAGGGAGAGGAUGGUAUACUACGUGUGUGUACAUAUACAUACCAUAGGGAGAGGAUGUGUAUACUACAGUGUGUGUACAUAUACAUACCAUAGGGAGAGGAUGUGUAUACUACAGUGUGUGUACAUAUACAUACCAUAGGGAGGGAUGUGUACUCAGUGUGUGUACAUAUCAUACACAUAGGGAGAGGAUGUGUAUACUACAGUGUGUGUACAUAU
rnacentral:lncRNA from 1 species